UUAAGGUUGGAUAUAUUCUCCUGUAAAUACGGCGGUGAAGUUAGUUUAAGGUUGGAUAUAUUCUCCUGUAAAUAUGGCGGUGAAGUUAGUUUUAGGUUGGAUAUAUUUUCCUGUAAAUACGGCGGUGAAGUUAGUUUCAGGUUGGAUAUAUUUUCCUGUAAAUACGGCGGUGAAGUUAGUUUUAGGUUGGAUAUAUUUUCCUGUAAAUACGGCGGUGAAGUUAGUUUUAGGUUGGAUAUAUUCUCCUGUAAAUACGGCGGUGAAGUUAGUUUUAGGUUGGAUAUAUUUUCCUGUAAAUACGGCGGUGAAGUUAGUUUUAGGUUGGAUAUAUUUCCCUGUAAAUACGGCGGUGAAGUUAGUUUCAGGUUGGAUAUAUUUUCCUGUAAAUACGGCGGUGAAGUUAGUUUUAGGUUGGAUAUAUUUUCCUGUAAAUACGGCGGUGAAGUGAGUUUUAGGUUGGAUAUAUUUUCCUGUAAAUACGGCGGUGAAGUUAGUUUCAGGUUGGAUAUAUUUUCCUGUAAAUACGGUGGUGAAGUUAGUUUCAGGUUGGAUAUAUUUUCCUGUAAAUACGACGGUGAAGUUAGUUUUAGGUUGGAUAUAUUUUCCUGUAAAUACGGCGGUGAAGUUAGUUUUAGGUUGGAUAUAUUUUCCUGUAAAUACGGCGGUGAAGUUAGUUUUAGGUUGGAUAUAUUUUCCUGUAAAUACAGCGGUGAAGUUAGUUUCAUGUUGGAUAUAUUUUCCUGUAAAUACGGCGGUGAAGUUAGUUUCAGGUUGGAUAUAUUUUCCUGUAAAUACGGCGGUGAAGUUAGUUUCAGGUUGGAUAUAUUUUCCUGUAAAUACGGCGGUGAAGUUAGUUUCAGGUUGGAUAUAUUUUCCUGUAAAUACGGCGGUGAAGUUAGUUUUAGGUUGGAUAUCUGACGGACAUUCUCUGAGGAUCUACCGGUGUCUUCUCACUCUCCAUAACCGGGAAUAACAACAGCAGCGCGGUUAAAUCUACUCGACACCCUCACUGUCAAAGUCGGUGUUGAAUAAGGGACCGUCAAUAAAUUACCGGUUGAUGUUCUCAGAAAAGGCUGUUUUCCUUCAAUAGCUUCACUGUCAUGUGACCAAAAGACCUGAAAUUGAUUUCUAAUAAUAGUACUAAG